GUGAUUAGUGGCGAACGGGUGAGUAACACGUGAGUAACCUGCCCCUGACUCUGGGAUAAGCGUUGGAAACGACGUCUAAUACUGGAUACGACUGCCGGCCGCAUGGUCUGGUGGUGGAAAGAUUUUUUGGUUGGGGAUGGACUCGCGGCCUAUCAGCUUGUUGGUGAGGUAAUGGCUCACCAAGGCGACGACGGGUAGCCGGCCUGAGAGGGUGACCGGCCACACUGGGACUGAGACACGGCCCAGACUCCUACGGGAGGCAGCAGUGGGGAAUAUUGCACAAUGGGCGAAAGCCUGAUGCAGCAACGCCGCGUGAGGGAUGACGGCCUUCGGGUUGUAAACCUCUUUUAGUAGGGAAGAAGCGAAAGUGACGGUACCUGCAGAAAAAGCACCGGCUAACUACGUGCCAGCAGCCGCGGUAAUACGUAGGGUGCAAGCGUUGUCCGGAAUUAUUGGGCGUAAAGAGCUCGUAGGCGGUUUGUCGCGUCUGCUGUGAAAUCCCGAGGCUCAACCUCGGGCUUGCAGUGGGUACGGGCAGACUAGAGUGCGGUAGGGGAGAUUGGAAUUCCUGGUGUAGCGGUGGAAUGCGCAGAUAUCAGGAGGAACACCGAUGGCGAAGGCAGAUCUCUGGGCCGUAACUGACGCUGAGGAGCGAAAGCGUGGGGAGCGAACAGGAUUAGAUACCCUGGUAGUCCACGCC
rnacentral:rRNA from 1 species